GCGUAGGCAGCUUACCAAGCCGAUACUGACGCUGAGGCACGAAAGCGUGGGGAUCAAACAGGAUUAGAUACCCUGGUAGUCCACGCCGUAAACGUUGAUUACUCGUUGUUGGCAAUAUAUCGUCAGCGACUGAGCGAAAGCAUUAAGUAAUCCACCUGGGGAGUACGUCAGCAAUGAUGAAACUCAAAGGAAUUGACGGGGGCCCGCACAAGCGGAGGAACAUGUGGUUUAAUUCGAUGAUACGCGAGGAACCUUACCUGGGCUUAAAUGUAGAGUGCAUAGAGUGGAAACAUUCUUUUCCUUCGGGACCCUUUACAAGGUGCUGCAUGGUUGUCGUUAGCUCGUGCCGUGAGGUGUCGGGUUAAGUCCCAUAACGAGCGCAACCCUCAUUGCCAGUUGCCAUCACAUCAUGGUGGGGACUCUGGUGAAACUGCCGGUGCAAACCGUGAGGAAGGUGAGGAUGACGUCAAAUCAGCACGGCCCUUAUGUCCAGGGCUACACACGUGUUACAAUGGCUGGUACAACAGGAAGCUACCACGCAAGUGGAUGCUAAUCCCCAAAACCAGUCUUAGUUCGGAUCGGAGUCUGCAACCCGACUCCGUGAAGCUGGAUUCGCGUAGUAAUCGCACAUCAGCCAUGGUCGGUG
rnacentral:rRNA from 1 species